CAUGCAAGUCGAGCGGAUCAAUGGGGAGCUUGCUCCCCUGAGAUCAGCGGCGGACGGGUGAGUAACACGUGGGCAACCUACCUGUAAGAUUGGGAUAACUCCGGGAAACCGGGGCUAAUACCGGAUAACCUUUUCCAUUGCAUAGUGGAAAAUUAAAAGAUGGCUUCGGCUAUCACUUACAGAUGGGCCCGCGGCGCAUUAGCUAGUUGGUGAGGUAAGGGCUCACCAAGGCGACGAUGCGUAGCCGACCUGAGAGGGUGAUCGGCCACACUGGGACUGAGACACGGCCCAGACUCCUACGGGAGGCAGCAGUAGGGAAUCUUCGGCAAUGGGCGAAAGCCUGACCGAGCAACGCCGCGUGAGCGAUGAAGGCCUUCGGGUCGUAAAGCUCUGUUGUUAGGGAAGAACAAGUACCGUUCGAAUAGGGCGGUACCUUGACGGUACCUGACCAGAAAGCCACGGCUAACUACGUGCCAGCAGCCGCGGUAAUACGUAGGUGGCAAGCGUUGUCCGGAAUUAUUGGGCGUAAAGCGCGCGCAGGCGGUCUCUUAAGUCUGAUGUGAAAGCCCACGGCUCAACCGUGGAGGGUCAUUGGAAACUGGGGGACUUGAGUACUGGAGAGGAGAGUGGAAUUCCAUGUGUAGCGGUGAAAUGCGUAGAUAU
rnacentral:rRNA from 1 species